AGCGAACGUUAGCGGCGGGCCUAACGCAUGCAAGUCGAACGAGAAAAUCCCUUCGGGGGUGAGUACAGUGGCGCACGGGUGGGGAACGCGUAGGUAAUCUACCCUCUGGUGGGGGACAACACUCCGAAAGGAAUGCUAAUACCGCGUAAGACCACACUUACUAAGGUGAGAGUGGUGAAAGGUGCCUCAAAGCACCACCAGAGGAUGAGCCUGCGUCCCAUCAGCUUGUUGGUAAGGUAACGGCUUACCAAGGCGAAGACGGGUAGCUGGUCUGAGAGGAUGAUCAGCCACACUGGUACUGGAACACGGACCAGACUCCUACGGGAGGCAGCAGUGAGGAAUAUUGGGCAAUGGGCGAAAGCCUGACCCAGCCACGCCGCGUGUGUGAUGAAGGCCUUCGGGUCGUAAAGCACUGUGGGGAGAGACGAAACAGCGCAGUAGGAAAUGACUGCGCCUUGACGGUACCUCCUUAGCAAGCACCGGCUAACUCUGUG
rnacentral:rRNA from 1 species